rnacentral:lncRNA from 1 species
AUCAGCCCAGCCAUCCUAAAUUCCACGUCUCAUUUCCACAAGCCCCACGCAGCCUCUGCUGCAGGCUCCAAAAGAAGGAUGUGGGAAGUGGGUUCUGGCCGUGACUUUGCCAGGCACCUGGGAGGGGUGCCAGCCAGGACGUGAGUGUCCUGAGCAGCAACCCUGGGCUGGCUUCAGGCACAUCUAGGUGAUAGACCAGGGCAUAAGCCUCUCAUCUUUCCAGGGCUUUUGUGUCAGUGGCAACUGAGUUGGCUUGAGGGAUCUAAAGUUACCCCCUGACCAUCUCCAGUGGCACCCCCAAGCCCGGUGGCACCCAUUCCGUCGCUGCCCGUCUCUUCGAGUCCUCUCAUUCUCUGUGGCUGCUGGCCUGUCUGUUGGUUUGCCUGGGUGUUGUCUGCCCCCAUGGAAGGAGGCAGACCUUACUUUCCCUUACUGACCACCGUUACCUCUGAGCUCAGAGCAGCUGGAUCACUGGGCAGGUCUGCAACAACAAUGCAUGUGGUGUGCGGAAGGCAAUGACAGUUCCCAUUUCCCCGAGAGAAACUCCGGCAUAAGAUCAUGAAAACCACUGGAGGACACCUGAAACCUUCCUCCUCAGCUGCCUCACCUGCUGUGGCCAUGAGUCAUUCACUUCCUGACCGUCCCCACCCUGGACAUGGUUGGCGUUAGUAAAAUUCAUCCAUCAAUAAAAUCAUUUGAUACAAAACUAACACCUAUAUUCCUGAGUGCUCAAUGACAUGACCAGGUGUUGGUGUAAUCAAAUUCAUGAUUCUUGGGGUCACGAGGAGAUGGAAACAUGGAGGUUUUGGAGGCCACCAUGGAGGGAUCACCGGAGUAAAAUGGCUCAUUUGGCAGAUGGGGUGAGAU